GACGAACGCUGGCGGCGUGCUUAACACAUGCAAGUCGAACGGAGUGGCGAACGGGUGAGUAACACGUGGGUGACCUGCCCUUCACUUCGGGAUAAGCCUGGGGAACUGGGUCUAAUACCGGGUAGUGUGGGAUGUGGCCGCGGCCGAUCAGCUUGUUGGUGGGGUAAUGGCCUACCAAGGCGGCGACGGGUUGCCGGCCUGAGAGGGUGUACGGCAACAGUGGGACUGGGACACGGCCCAGACUCGUACGGGAGGCAGCAGUGGGGAAUAUUGCACAAUGGGCGGAAGCCUGAUGCAGCGACGCCGCGUGGGGGAGGACGGCCUUCGGGUUGUAAACUCCUUUCACCAGCGACGCGGUAGAUGGAGAAGAAGCACCGGCUAACUUCGUGCCAGCAGCCGCGGUAAUAC
rnacentral:rRNA from 1 species